AGCGGAGGAAAAGAAACUAACAAGGAUGCGCUUAGUAACGGCGAGCGAACCGCGCAAAGCCCAACUUGAAAAUCUCCCUCGGAGAAUUGUAGUCUAUAGAAGUACCCUCUGCGACGGGCUGAGCUCAAGUCUCCUGGAAAGGGGCGUCAGAGAGGGUGAGAACCCCGUAAGCUCAUGCUUUGUUGCCUCACGAGGUGCUUUCAAAGAGUCGGGUUGCUUGGGAAUGCAGCCCAAAUUUGGUGGUAAAUCCCAUUUAAGGCUAAAUAUUGGCGAGAGACCGAUAGCGAACAAGUACCGUGAGGGAAAGAUGAAAAGAACUUUGAAAAGAGAGUUAAAAAGUGCUUGAAAUUGUUGAGGGGGAAGCGUUUGAAUGCUAGGGUGGGCCUAGGCUUAUGGGUCCUUAACGGUGCUCUGUAUGUGCUAGGUGCUGGCCAGCAUGGGUUGGGCUAGCGGGAUAAAAACUGGGGUUGUUACCCGGUCUUUGCCGCUGGCUUGACCAAGGCGUGAAGACUGCCCUUGUCCUUCGGGAACUGCAGUCUCAAGAUGCUGGCAAGUAAGGCGUUUCUUACCCGGUACCCCG
rnacentral:rRNA from 1 species